GCCCUUUAAUUCAAUUGAGCAAAACAAAUGUCCUCCCCAUUGAUACAAAUCAGAAUGAUAGAAUUCUGUCAGGUAGGCCUACAUUGCCUUCAACAUUUAACUGGAGCGGUUUUUAGGGGAAAGCCUUUAGAAAUGUUCAUGCUGUUGGAUUCGGGGUGAAACAUUGUUAUACUCAAAGGUAUAGGAACAUUAGUUACAAAAGAGACAUGAGGGGUGCCAUAAUGAAGCUUGGGAGGGGCUGAGUGCAAGGGAAACGAUCGCAUGUGGCAGUACUGAUAAGGGGAGAAACCGUUGAAGGAUCAUGUCACUUAGCUCCCUGCUUAGCAAGAUUGAUGCAAUGUUUAGCGAUAAGGAGGAGACUCCACCCAAAGUGGGGUAUGAAUACUACCACGGGGCAAGCCAUAUCUGUGUCUGAAUUACAGCUGUAACGACCCUUUGGGAAGAAUUAAACUUGGUUAUGCUUCUCUAGAAACUAACAGUUGGCGUUGUCGGCAGGAUUCACCACAAUUUGUAGUAAAACCAGAGUGUCCAGAUCAGUGGAGCAGGAGCUGGUAACAGACAAGGUUUCGUGGAACAUAAGAGUGAUCAUUGUCCCAGAGGAGGGACUGRUGUAUAUUGACUAAUUGAUUUGAGAAUGUUUUAGUAUGUUUAUAACUGUAGAAGUGCAUUAGGAGUAGUGACUAGUGUGUUAUGGGUUAAAUGGAAUGAUAUAUGUGCAAAUGUAUCUGUAGCAGGAGGAGAGGUGUUUGAGACAGAAUGUUAACAUAGGGCUGUUAAGUGGGAUGGAACGUGACUGCAGUGAAGAUCUGUGGGGGCUCAUAAAUAAAGGUUGUGGUGAUGGAGAAGUAUCAUUCCCAGAGACUGUAUAUUGUUACAGGAGAUAGCUCAUAGGAGAGGAAGGACAGCUAACUSUACACAAUAUAGGGAUUUAAUUCAGUUAAAUUGAACAUUACACAUACCCAGAGAUAGUGGUGGCAUUUCAGACACUAUGGUAAACUUUCAAGAAACCUGUGACUCAGAGUUUUGUUAGGCUGGAUAUUCUUCCAAUUUAUUAAUCUCUUUCCCAAUUUCUAACCGCCGGCGAACACUUGACAGAUUACAUGCAGAAGUUAUUCUCACGGCAGUCGCUGUAGGGACCGUAAUAGAAGGAGGCUAUAAUCAUGGGCCAUGUUAAUAGUAGCAGGAGUUACUUUAGUAGCAUUGUUGGGAUAUCAGGUUAUGAGUACUCAUGCCACAUGGCUUGGUAACUGGUAACUGGGAAACCGAUGGGAGUACAGAGRUGGCUAUUAUUCAAAUGUCACAAAUUAGUGAUCUUGCCAUAAUAGGUGAGUCUAUGUUGUCGGGAAAUGACCCAUGUGUUGCAGUGUGUAUAUCCUCAGGUGAAAGCAGAGAUAUAAGCAAGGGCACGGGCUGAAUUCUGGAGACUGAGUGUUCAUCAAGAGACACCAGGCGGGGGUGUUGGGACAGCGUUGGUAUGGUCCACACACACUACUCCUUACAGCACCUGCAGCGGUAAAGAUCGUCAUGUCUCUCCUCGGUGGGUGCAUAGUUCUCAUGUGAAGUGAGAUCCAGCUGCAUAAUCGGUGAGCUUGAAGACACCAUGACAGAGGAAGCGGAGCGAAAGAGUGAGACCGACUAGAAUCCACUGUAAGACAUGCAGAUGGGUUGGGUCUGGGAGCUACGUUAAACAUCAUAGUUGGGUUAGCUGCUUUAUUGGUUAAUGCAUCAUAUGAAAGAGGAUAGAUGUUGGGGUAAUUAAUUGUACUCUAAACAACAUGUUGAAGGCAUUGAUGUGAAAGCAUAUACAAUGCUGAGUUACCUCAAGAGGAUGUAGGGUUGUGGCAAUAAAGGAGAUGGGGAACAAAGUGAAGAUGACAUGACUUGGGAACACCUCUCGGAACCUGGGGCCGGAMAGCGGAAGWCUGGGCAAAAGCAUGAGGAGGCUUUUUAGGGCUUUCAUUUUUGUGGAAUCCAGCAGAAAAGUAUCCUGGMGGCAUAGAGUCAGGUGAAGAGAGAGUGGGAAUUGUCAUGGUCUCAGACUUUGGUUUUUAUGCAUAUAUAAUUAUGCGUAGCUUAUCACAUUGUUAAUACUGUUAUGUUUUGUGUGUCUUUUUGUUGCUUUCCAAGUCUUAUGCUAUCACUCUCUUAGGAACCAGAUGGAGAAAGUGGAGAAACAAAAAGCCGCUCCAGCUGACAUGGAACAAGACAGCAGAUUCAGCUGGAAUAUCAUUUUGUUGUGUGCUGAGAGAUGGAAAUAAAAUUGUGUAUGGUGUGAUCAUA